GUCCCUGUAGUGCAAUAGAUAGUGCGUUGGACGUUUAAUCCAAGGGUCUUGGGUUCAAAACCCACCUGGGAUG